AGCGAACGCUGGCGGCGUGCUUAACACAUGCAAGUCGAGUGCGUAGCCCUUUGUAGCAAUACAGAGGGUGGGCGCACGGCGCACGGGGUGAGUAACACGUGGGUAACCUGCCCUUGGUGGGGAAUAACCCCGCGAAAGCGGGGCUAAUUCCGCAUAACAUUCCGGGGACACAUGUUCUCGGACUCAAAGGAGUGAUUCGCCGGAGGGAGGGGCCCGCGCCCGAUUAGCUUGUUGGUAGGGUAACGGCCACCAAGGCUUUGAUCGGUAGCCGGUCUGAGAGGAUGGCCGGCCACACUGGAACUGAGACACGGUCCAGACUCCUACGGGAGGCAGCAGUGGGGAAUCUUGCGCAA
rnacentral:rRNA from 1 species